rnacentral:lncRNA from 1 species
AGAAACUUCUAUGGACUUUAUUCCAUUUCAUCCUGAAAGAUUCUGCAUAAACAGGAGCAGCUGAGUUCUUCAGGAAGCAUGUGGGGGAGGAAGGAGAAGUGGAAAGCGGUAAACAAAGCAGUUUUGCAGAAAUCAGACCUGUGGAAACAGGACUGCUCCAGGGACUAUCUUGAGCCAGCAAACAGAACUGUGAAGACAAGUAAGGAGCCCCAACCCUGAGAACACCUUACAGCAGGACUGAAACCACCAUCACUGACCUAAGGGGGUGAGGAUGACAGAAAUUGGAAGACACUGGUGUAACGUGAGAACCGAGGAGACCGCAGAGUUGACAAUAUCUCCUCAUACACUGCUGACUGGCUGUCUUGACUUUCUUCGGUGGAAUAUCAUAUAUCCUAUAAAUAAUCACAGAUUUGUCAUUUUCUUCCCAAUAGUUAUAUGUCCCAUUUCUUUAUUUUUAAAAUCAUGUUAUCUAGGCACUUCAGUAAAAUUUUAAAUGAUUAUGAUUAAGAUAAGCAAACUUAUCUAGCUUAAAUGGAAAUGAUUGUUUUAGCAUUAAGCAUGGUGCUUAUUAUGUGUUGUAGUAG